GCGGACCACCAGGAACUGCUUAACCCGGGAUUUGUCCUGUUUAGGCAACGGGGAGGACGUGGUGGUUGUUGUUGAUGCCUUGAAGGAAACGGCAAGUUACUUAAUUACAAGGUUUGGUCUCCCUUGCCAGGAGAGACCCCCUCCAAACCCGAAACUGUACACAUCCUGCGGCAGAAUUGUCCCCCUAAAUUCCUGGACACGAAUGGCCUUGGUGGGCUGUGGAGUGUGAGUUCCUCUGAAAGGCACCGGUGUGCCUUUCUCAAUGUUCUGCUCACUUAAGUGGAUCCCUAAAUUAGACCUUAAAAGCAGCGGAAGUCCCCCAGCAGCCGGGAGGGGGAACGCCACAGAACCCACUGUGUAAUCCUGGCCAGGUUCUGGGCACGGGCUGCUUCCUGGGCUUUCCGAAUGCCAUGGAAGUGAACACCGGGAUGCCUCUUCCUGUGCCUCUGGUGUCUCCAUGCCCCCCGGUGCUAGUGGGGAAAAAGCCCCUUGGGGUCACAGUGGGCCCCUGAGGGGUCCCAGGCCAGGCCAACCGCGGGGACAGGAGCACCCCAAAGGGAGAGAGCCGUGCUAGGAAGAAGCUGCAGGCGGGCCGAGGUGCCCCUAUGCGGUGCCAGUGGGCCCGGGGUGGCGUCCCCCACAGCCAGCCCCACCCCGGGUCAGACGGCACCAGAGUGAGCCUCCGGGCUUCACGACCCCCCCCCCCCCCUCCCGCCGUGCAUCUGGACAACGACCGUCACAGAAGACGUGGAUUCUGACAAGGAUUAUUUCUGUUGAUGGCAGAGGUGCUUCUAUUAGGCACCCAGCCAGACGUGCCCCAGCAGGGAGAAUAUUCCAGACUUUUUUAGAAGGCUGCCUGAGGGGAUCUGGAUGCUUUACGGGGCCAGCUUGGAUGCUCCUCCUUGUGGCCAUUCUCUGGAGGUGAGUGUGCCAGGUUUGCUGAGCCUAGGAGUGGGCUGGAAAGCCCUCUUCCCCAGAGGUAGCGGAGGGUCUGGAUGGCGGAGGAGAGCCCAGAGGGCCGGCUCUGUGUUUGGUGAAUAAACACGGGAGUCGGGUUUCUGGCCUGUCACUCUGCAGCUUUUCAGCGAGUGAGGGGCCAGGUGGGCCGGAGGGAGUUCCCGCGGCGGCACAUGAAGAGGCCGGGGCCUGCGGGGGCUGGGGCCCGGGCAGGGCCCGCUCUGGGCAGCCAGCGGAGCGGGCCUUUGCAGGCCACGGAACUUCACACCUUUGAAAGGCUCCAGAGCGGCACGCAGAGAAAAUAAACCGUUCCUCCCAUCCGUGGCAGGUCUGCCAUCCUCAGGGGCUCCCCGUCAUGCACACGGAAACCCUGUAAAAGGGCCCAGUGUUUCCUUUUCCACUCCCCGAAAGGAUGCGUGCUGAGCCCUGAGGACUGUCGGGGGUGGGUGACAGGGCUCUAUCCCGGCCAGGGAAGCCUGGUUCCAGCGCCGCUCCUGCUGGGAUAAGCCACCCCAGCUCUCCGAGUGUUGCUUUGCACAUCUGGAAAACAGGAAGAAAAAUACCUCCCUUUGAGUGUUAUUCUGCGUGUGUCCGACGGCAAAAUAGGGCAUAUAUGUGAACGCACCUAGCCCACAGUGGAUGCUUCAUCAAUGUGUCCCUCCUUUCCCCUCCCCAUUACCUAAAGCAAGUCUGAGUUUGCCUCAGAGCCUCGGUUCCCUGCUCUGUAAAGGGGUUCGUGCCUCCCUCGUGUGGCUUCCAUGAGACAAAGGGCCUGGCUUGCAGGGGCUCUCCAGCAGAAAUUUCUUCCUUGCUUCUUUCCUCCCAUUCGCCCUCCCCUCUGGGUGUCGGGGCAUCACUUUGCAAAUGGGAAUGGCCAUGCCCCUGUAGGUCGAGAACACUCUAAGGAUGAGCGUAAUGCAAUGCCACAGCACUGAUGGGCAUCGCUGUGCCACAGGGCUGUAGGAGAGGCUAGAUCUCAAAAGACUUUAGAAGGCAGCAGAUAGAAUACAAGGAUCGGGGAGUCCAAGGGAUACGAGAAUCCAUCUGAUACUCGGGCCUUGUCUCAUCGAGCGAGGGUUUGGGCAGGAAUGGUGGGAGCCUUGGGAAGAAAGGGAGUCCAAGGAGGACUUCCUGGAGGAGUGCUCCGUCCAAAGCUGUGGAGCUUAGUCUUUCUUCCCAGGUUUAGUCCAUUGCCAAUGCUCGAGGCCCAGACUACUGCUGGCCCACAGCAAGUUGAGAGAUACCCCCAGAAGUGCCCUCUUUCUCCCACCUAGGUUUUUCAGGGCCGGGAGGAGACAGACCUAGGACCGAGAGGUGGGCAAAUGUGAGAGCAGAUCCCAGUGAGCUCUCUAGGAAGAGAGCCAGUUGUCUCCAGAGGUCGUGAGUUUCCUGUCACAGCAGGUGUCCAACAGUGGCUGGAAGGCCCUGUGAUGGUACAGAAGGGGGACCAUGGCACGAGGUGAAGGUGGGAAUAUAGGUGGGAAUAUCUGGGAGACAGGCUUUGGAGUCAGGUACACAUGGGCUCCAGUUCCAGCUUUACAGUUCACCCCUGUGUGACCUUGGGUUAGUCUCCUUCCGAAACUUUGUAAAAUCCCAAUUUCCUCAUAUGUAAAUAGGCAGUAAUUCCUACUUCAAAGAGUUGUUUUCAGAGAGUAAACGAGAUAAUGCAUGAAAAGUAUUUAGCACGGUCAGAAACAUGUGGGUUCCCCUGCCCCAGCUGAGAGUCUAAGAUCAGAGAGUCUGAAGUUUGUGGGGGUUUAAGAUCCUAUACUUUGGGAUUCUGAAAUUCUAGGAGACUGAACACUUACAUAAGCCUUCCCCUACGCUAAAUACUUUCUUAGGGACAUUACAAAUAUUCACUUGCUUAAUCUUCACAAUAACCCUAUACGACAGGUACUGUUAUUACCCAUAAUCUAUAGAUGAGGAUGUAUAGACAGAAGGCUAAGUAGCCUGCCCACAUCACACAGCUGAAAGGGGUGGGGCUGGGCCUGGAUUCUGGUUCCACUGUCUGUGCGAUAGGAUUCUAAGAUCACAAGAUUCUAAAACCACUCCAUGUUUCUUAGAGCCCGAAGAAUUCAAUAUUAUGGGGCUUUUUAUUAAUAAUAAUGAACAUCCAGGGUGAGAAGGGAAGGUUCUAGAGCAGGAGUUGUUGAACUUCCUCUGUAAAGGGCCGAUAUCUUAGGUUUUGCAGGCCACAAGUUCUCUGGCAAGAGUACCCACCUCCACAGUUGUAGCCAGUAGCUAAAUGAAGGGUCUGACUGUGUUUCAAUAAAACUUUAUUCACAAAAACAAGUGGCAGGCAGACUGUAGUUUGCCGACUGCUGUUCUCAAGACACAGAUAAUACAUCUUCUGCUCUGCUGAGCACCCUGGUGAAGGCUCCCUUCAGGGCUGAUCCUCAGGAGAUCCCCGCUCUGCCCUGCUUUAGAGAGACAGAGGGGCCUGGGAAGACCAGGCAGACUCCCGAGGGCGUGGGUGCCUCGAAUGUGGCUCUCUCUUUCUGUCCUAGAGAGGCUGUUAAAAAGGCUCCUCUCUCCAGCAGCGGAGCCUCGUUACUCAUGGGCUAGAAAACAAUGCUAACUUCCCCCAAAGCGGGAAGCAGUUGCACUUGUGAGCCAGGGCUCAUUUUGCUACAUGAAUAUUUAUGGCAUGUCCCCUAAUUAAGCCCAGAAAUAAAAUUUACCCUGCUCACGGGGGCCAGGGGAGACUGGAAAGCCGUGUCAGGAACCAGCUUCUUGUGCCUGUGAAGUAGGGUUGUCAUCGAAACAUUUGUGUCCACAGCCACUUGGUCUGGGUCAGUGUCCAUAGGAGUAGUGGGGGUGGGCGUUCCCAGGAAGGUCAAGUUCCCGUGGUGUGGUCACAUGCUGGUGUGGGGGCCACCUGGUGGGUGACCAUUGCCCCAGAUCUGCAUGGGGUGACACAGAGGGGUCCUAGCCCUAGCAAUAUUAUUUUUCUUUAGUCGGGAUGACUCAGGUAUUUUGUGACUGGGCUUCCAAGGUCACUCUAGUGACAAGAGCUCAGAGAGGGAGGCCCUGGCUGGGUCUGAGUUCCUCCUCUGAUGCUGAUUGUGUGGGACCUGGGCUGCCCCACCAGCCUCCCCACCCUCUCUGUGAAGGAGGAAAUCCUCGGGCCACAGGAUCCUGGAGUUCUUGCUGAGAACCACGGGACGUGACAGCAGGGAAAGCAUUAUGGGGAAUUGUUCCCACCACGGUUCUGGGGUUUCUUUUACCUAAAGGCACUCCUUCUCUCAAACCUGGGAAAGGAGGAAAGCUGGCUCUGCCCAGCCUUGAGUAACCUUGAGGGUUUCCGGAAACCAUAAAUCUCGGCUUUUCCUUCAGGGGUCCUAUCUCCAGAGAGCUGCCUGGGCCUCAUAUCCUUUUCCGAGGAGCCAAUAAACCAAGCAAAUACCAUAAAGCUCUUCACUCCAGCCUGAGCUCUGCUUGGAGUCAGACCUGUAGUCCAGAAGCCGGCUUCAGAACACAACCAUCAGGUUGACCAGGAGUCCUCCCCCCUUCCCUUCCAGAAUGUAGCUUGCCUUUGACUUCUCUCUUCUGUCAGCUUUUCAAUAAUUUCCCUCUUAUAAUUGUUCACAGCAGCGGAGAGGUCCCACCUGUGCCCCUGCCUCCACCUCCAGGCUGCUGGUGUAUACUGGGAUAAGGAGGGAGGAUGCUUUCCUAAGGUCACAGGACAGUGGGAGGAAAGAUCACAGCUUCCUCUGGCCCACCGCAACUACAGGAACCGCUUACUGCCAUUCACAUCUGCCACGCUGUCUUCGCUGAGCAAGGAUGCCGUGUUCUUCUUACUGGUUCGGAGGUUCAGUGCAGAACACUUAAGCAGACGUGUGCCUUUGAGAAAAGUCACUUUACUUCUCUGGGCUUCAGUUCUCUCAUCUUUAAAACGGGAGUUAUCACGCUCCCCACUCACCUAUCCCCUCUGCUCCUUGCUAGGAUCAAAUGAGAUGAUGAUUAAGAAGGUGCUUUGUCAGCGAAUGCUUUUGCAUCUGAGAGAGUAAGCGUUAAAGUCAUCCCUGCAGUGUCAUCAUUAUUUGAUGUUUCCUCUCCCUCCGCCCAGCCGGAGGAUCUCCCGUGCCCCCAGAGACCUAAGUCCAGGAGCAAAUCUGUUGGUCAGGGGCCCCGAGGGAGGCCAGGAGCUCUGCUGGGAGACUGGAGAGGAACUAGAGGCUGAGUACACUUUGUUCUUGUUCAGGUCUAAGCCUGCCGGCCAGAGCCGGGCACCACACGGUCCACACCUCCUCGUUUAGUGGUCAGACGGGCUCCCAGGUGAGUUCAUGGGCCCUGGGUGUCCAGGCUUGGGCUCUGCCUACCCAGGCUUACACAGAAACCCCCACUCCACCUGAGAGGACACAGGAGGUUCUGGUGGGUCCAGACACCCAGCUCUCUGCCCUAAGCACUCUCCUGAUUUCCACCAGCUCUCGUGUUUGAGGAGGGAAAUGUGGUCUACACACUUUGGUUGAACUGCACAAAAGCUAUCACGAAGCUUUGGAAGAGCCAAUUGUGCUGCGUGUCCCGUUGGGGAAUCUUAGGCCUCUUUUGAAGGCCUUUUUCUCCCCUUCGGGAAAACAGGGAAUCAUGCCGCCCCAGGAGCAACCAACUUGAAAUGUUUAGUGCUUGCUUGUCCUCCCCCCCUGCCCCCCACAAUUGGAAAAGGCCCAAGUCGGUCUCCGCCAGAGCACAGCAAACCCUUACGCCUGGCAAUUAAAGCCCUCCAUGAUUUGCCCCAAGCUAUCUUGAUAGCAGGCAGCCCCUAGCAUCCAAUGAGGCGGGGGCCAUUUGCAGUCAGAACCCACCCGACUAUGAGCUUUCUUGCAGCCUCUGUUUACACUGUUCCCUCUCGCUGGCUGCAUUUCAUCCCCACCAGUCCUGGAAUUUUAUCCAUUCUUUAAGAUCCAGCUCCAGCCCAGUCUCUGCCUUCCCUUGAUCGUUCUAAAUGAACGCAUUUCUGGCUGAGGAUUUGGUCCUGAGUGAUGACAGUAAAUGUUACAGAAGAACGAGUAAAUGAAUGGAUGGAUAGGAUGGAUGGGUGAGGUUUGACAACACACGAAGGAAUGAAUGUGCGGUGAACGGGUGGAUAUGGGCGUCCAUUUACAAAGCACGUACUAUGGGCCAGGCAGGGGCCCAGAGGCUGAUGUGAGCUGUGAAUAAGACGUGCUUUCUGUCCUCAUGCCCUUACCUUUGAGCGGAGGAGUCAGAGAGGUGCACAAUCCAUUACUUAUUUAGUUAGCCUUGUGAUAAAAUGCCAUGAGGGAGGAAAAUUAAUAAGUAAAUGAGUGAAUGUGUGAGGAAUGAGUGAAGACAGGAAUAAGCAAACAGAAUAAGGGAGGGAAUGAAUGUGCAAAUGGAUCCUGAGGAGCAUAAAUGAAGGAAUGAAGGCAUGAUGGAUGAAGGUUAAUCUUACCAGGGCAAGAAUCCAUGCCACGUGACCUGGUGUUUAUGGGCCCGAGGCCUAGAGGCCAGGGUUGCCCAAAGUCAGCCCCUCUCCUGCUUCCCUGGGGGUGGGGACAGCAGGCAGUGAGAGGGGGAGCCAGGCCUUGUGCCUCCCCAGGUAGCACCAUUCUUGCUAUCUAAGCACCUCCAGAAUGGAAAGUCCGUCUUGGAAAGGGCCGAAGACUUCAGCAUGUGGAAUCUAGGGCCUUCAGGAAGGUCUGAUUUUUGCUCAGUGCAUGGAAUGAACCUCAAAGCUUUUGCAGUCACACCCAAUGCCGCAGUACCCUCUGUGGUGAGAAAUCAGGGUCGGGAGGGGGAGGGGUCCGCCCAAGGCACACCAUCAGGGCCCUGACUGCAAGGCGCCUUAAGGAGUCUUUGCCGGGACCAUCAAAGGCCCUUUUUCAUCUCUGACCUUGCCUAAUCCUCUCCCCCGUGAGCCCCCCUCCAGCUCCCUGGCCCCCUCCCUGUCCGACACACGCAGCCUCUGCUCAGCUCGGAGCCUUUGGGCUCCUCGUUCCCUCUGCCUGGGAUGUGCUCCCAGACAUCUGUCAUCUGGCCCUCUCACUUCCUUCAGGACUAUUCUCAAAAGUGACCCUAAGUCCUUCUGUGGCCAUCGUAUCUGUAAUUUUACCCCUGGCUGCUUCCUUCUGCAUCGUCUUCCCUAACUUUGAUUUUUCUUUAUAGCAUUGAUCCUUACCUGACACACUCUACAUUUUUCUUAUUUGUUUUGUUUUGCAUCUCUUUAUCCUCCCAGAGGGCAGGGACCUUGCAUCGCUCUGUCCACUACUAUCCCAGCAGCAGCAAUGGAGGCUGCCACUAAACAUGUUCUGCCCGGGGAAAUGAAGCAAAGGCUCAGAUCCAGCCUUGCCUCUCCAUCCAAAACCCACGGCCACUGUCUUUUCUUGCCUGGACACUGCGACAGCCUCCUCCCUGACCCCUCCCUCAGCCUCUUCCCUGACCCUGGCCUCCUCCUGACCCCUAGCUGCCUCUUUGGCCCAGAGUGAUCUUUCCUCUGUGACAAAUAUGACCAUAUCAUUCCCCUUCUGGAAACUCUUUACUGUUCCCCUCUCUUCUUUCUUCUUGACUCUGUCUUUCCCGACCUUGAAAACUAAAGAUCCAAGAUAACAUAGGAGAAGCGUCUGACGCAUGGCACUGAAUAAGCGGUAGUUGCCGUCAUCCCCCAAAUACUUGGGCACCCAGGUGGAGGGUGCGACGAGGGGGCAGUGGACUGUUUUAAGGUGUAGUGUGUGGAACAGCAUGGACAAGCACAUGGGAGUGGCAGCAGUGUGUCACGAACAGAGGAACUGUCGGUAGGCCGGGCUUGUUGGCACAGUGAUUUCAGUAGAAGAAUCUUGACCACUGGGAGGGAGAACGGGUUGGGUCAGAUCCCAGAAGGUAUUGACUGCAAAACUGAGGAGCUCUGCUUAUGCUGCAGACUGUAGGACACCUCUGUGAGCAUCUUCAACAAAAUUCAACACGUUGCCCAGCACUGGUUAGGAGUCAAGUGUUACAGUGGGCACUUUCACAGGGAGUCUUCAGUAGGAUAUAACAAUCCUGUGAAAUCUGUAUCAGUGUUCUCAUCUUACAUAUGGAGAAACCAAAAUCCAGAAAGGUUGGCUAACUUUCCCGAGGCAACCUACAGCGGAGGUUUGAACCCAGGCCUAGGUGACCCGAAAUCUUAGUAUCUAUUUUUAUCAUUCAGAGGCCUCACACUCGUCAAGUGUUUGUUGGUUGAAUGCAAGCCUUGCCACAGGGUGACCCCAAUAACCCGGGGGCUGGUGACACUUAACCCCAACAGCCUUUCUGGUUCCCACAACAGCCUCCAUAGCUCCAAGCCGCGAAUCGGGCCUUCAUACAGCCUUUUGUGGACUUGGGAGUCAAGAAGAGAAUUCACAGUACUUUGGAAAACACAUUUUCUUUUAAAGAAGAAUUUUUUGUUUUCAUUUCAAACAGCCCUGGCUGGUGAUGAGUGGUGAGGAGAGGUGCCCUGUUUUCCAUCCUAACACCUAUUUCCAGGUGGGGGCAGGGAGGGCUCCAGCCCGAAAUGUUAUUUCAAAACCUUUCCGGGCCUUGCAGCUCCAUUUCCAGGCCACGUGCUACAAAGAAAAGCACGAUUUCCCAUUACGUCGUGUUGCCCUUUCUGGUCUGAGCACCUUUCAAAGCGGGAAGAGCCGGUCCGCCCCAGCGCACCCCCUCCCGUCCCCGUACAUGGAGUCUCACCGCCUGAUGGAGGGCUGGGAUAAACGGCCUUGCCGGGCAGCCGAUGGCCACACUCCUGAUAGGCCUGACUGCCAAGAGCAGCAAACUCCCAGCCCUUGAAGAGAUAGCUAGAAGCCGAGACCCGGUGUGAUGUGAGAGCUCCCUGCCUGCUCCCUGCCAUCUGAGGCGCAUUCCAAAGGAAGCAAGCCAGCGAGGUCUUGUCUUCUGACGAGUGCCGACAGAGACGGAUGCCGCACUCCCUGCCAGGGAGGGCCACGUUCAGACACUCCCAGAUAGCCAGCUGCCACUUUGUUAGCGGCAAACAUCCCCAUCUGAACCAGGCUGGGAAAGAAAAUAUUUAUGCUUGCCUGUCAGGAAGACCUUCAUUUUUCUUCCGAGGGAGCCAGCCAGGGUGCUGGUCCAGAGCUGAAAGAAUGUGACAUGUCUGUAGGGCUGCUCCAGGCCCUUCUCCGCACAGGCUCGAUGAAGACUCCAGAAUAUUCUCAGGGCAGCUCUGGACAGGCACAAGAGGGGCUUCAGAAGAGAGGGGCGGGGGAGCCCAGGAGAGGUGGGACCAUGCAGCCGGAACCCUCCCCGGGCCCCGUUGACCUGGAAAUGAGGGAACCUGGGUGUGGGGUGUGGCGGCUACAGUUAGAGAUCAGGCCCAAACGCACCACUAAAUGAUCUCAUUAUUAAUUCAAAACAUGUAGCUGUAUUAAUAUGAAAAGUGACUUUGUACUGAGAGUCAAAUAAUCUUGUAUUCCAGAAAACGCUAACGCUGGCGCUAAGCCUUGCCGUUUA